rnacentral:rRNA from 1 species
GCAAGUCGAACGAUGAGGUUCUUUCGGGAAUACAUCAGUGGCGGACGGGUGAGUAACGCGUUGGUAUCUACCUUAAAGAGGGGGAUAACGUCUGGAAACGGGCGCUAAUACCGCAUAAGUCUACGGAUAAAAGGCGAGAGUCGCUUUAAGAGGAGCCUGCGUAAGAUUAGCUAGUUGGUGGGGUAAGAGCUUACCAAGGCAACGAUCUUUAGUUGGUCUGAGAGGAUGGCC